AAUGAACGUUGGCGGCGUGGAUUAGGCAUGCAAGUCGAGCGAGAAGGUUCCCUUCGGGGAACUGGACAGCGGCAAACGGGGUAGUAAGGCAUCGGUAACGUACCCCCAGGACCGGGAUAGCCGUGGGAAACCGCGGGUAAUACCGGAUAAUAUCUCCGGAUCAAAUGGUGAGAUUCCGCCUGGGGACCGGCUGAUGUGAUACCAGCUUGUUGGUGAGGUAACGGCUCACCAAGGCUCAGACGUCUAGGGGGUGUGAGAGCAUGGCCCCCACCACUGGGACUGAGACACUGCCCAGACAUCUACGGAUGGCUGCAGUCGAGAAUCUUCGGCAAUGGGCGAAAGCCUGACCGAGCGACGCCGCGUGCGGGAUGACGGCCCUUGGGUUGUAAACCGCUGUCAGAGGGGAUGAAUUAGGAAGCUAUCUU
rnacentral:rRNA from 1 species